UUUAUUAUGCAGAUUACUUUUUUUUGUCUAUAAUUUAUUUUUUUUAAAAAUUAAUUUAUUGUUUUUGUACAUAUUUUGGAUUUAAUCAUUUUAUGUUAUAGUUUAUUAUUACUGUAUAGGUAUUUUAUUAUUAAUUUUUAAAAGUAGAUUUAAAUUGUUGUAUCUUGUGUAUCAGGGUUUAUUAAAUUUUAAUUAUUUAUUUAUAUAUCCCGAUUUUAAAAGAUUUAAGUAAUUAUUUUAGUUAUUGUAUUAUAAAUAUUAAGGAUAAUUAUUUGGUGGUGAAAUGCUAUUCGAUUUUAAUGAUAUCUGGUUUUUCAGGAAAUGAAUUUAAUUCAUAUAUUAUUAUUUUAUUUCUAUUUUUAUUAGAAUUAUAAUAUAAUAAUAUAAAUAUUAAGGGGGAUAAGCUCUUUAUUAUAUUUUUAUAAUUUUAUUUAUAUUUAUUUUUGUUGGUUUUAUAAUAACUAUCAAUUUGAGUUUGUUAAUAUUUUAUUAUUAAAUAAUAUUAAUUUUUGUUAUAUUUAAGUUUUUACUGUAAUUUUGUAUAGAAUUAUUAUUUAUUUUUAAUAAUGGUGGAAUUAGUAAUUUUUAAUUAUUUUAAUAUUAAAUUAUUAUUUAUUAUAAUUUUAAAAGGAAUUAGGCAAAAUAUUAUUCUCGCAUGUUUAUCAAAAACAUCGCUUCUUGUAUAUAGAAUAUAUGAAGUAUAACCUGCCCACUGAUAUAAAUUUAAAGGGCCGCGGUAUUUUGACCGUGCAAAGGUAGCAUAAUCAUUAGUUUUUUAAUUGGGGACUGGUAUGAAUGGUUUGACGAGGAAUGAUCUGUUUCUUAUUAAUAUAUUAUUGAAUUUAAUUUUUAAGUUAAAAAGCUUAAAUUUUUUUAUGGGACGAGAAGACCCUAUAGAGUUUUAUAUUCUUUAUAUAUAAUUGGUUUGUUAAGUAUUUAUAGAUUAGUAUAUAAAGAGUAUUUUAUUGGGGUGAUAUUAAGAAUUAAAUAACUCUUAUUAUUAAUAAUACAUUUAUUUAUGAUAAAAUGAUCCAUAUUUAUUGAUUAUAAGAUUAAAUUACCUUAGGGAUAACAGCGUAAUUUUUCUUGAAAGGUCUUAUUGAUAGAUAAGUUUGCGACCUCGAUGUUGGAUUAAGAUUUAAUUUGGGUGUAGAAGUUCAAUUUGUUUAGGUCUGUUCGACCUUUAAAAUCUUACAUGAUCUGAGUUCAGACCGGCGUGAGCCAGGUUGGUUUCUAUCUAUAAAUAAUUUUAUACUUUAGUACGAGAGGACCAAGUAUUUAAA
rnacentral:rRNA from 1 species